GCCAGGCUGUAGCUCGAGAUUAGAGCACGUGGCUGCGAACCACGGUGUCGGGGGUUCGAAUCUCUCCUCGCCUGGCA